rnacentral:tRNA from 1 species
GCCUGGGUGGCUCAGUUGGUUAAGCGUCUGACUUUGGCUCAGGUCAUGAUCUCACAGUUUGUGAGUUCGAGCCCCGCGUCAGGCU